GAUGUGGUAAUGCUAACUGUUCAUUCCCCCCUUAUAGUUGCCCCCCUGAAUGGAAAGGAGAUUUUUGCGAGACCAGUGUUUUUGGUGUAGUCACAACCUCAGUUGCUAUUGCUCUUGGAGUUACAGCUGUUAUAGCUCUUUUCCUGGUCUGCCUGAUAUACUCUGCAAAAAAGAAGGAGAAAAUUAUGAACACUCUGCAUAACAUUAAUCUGCCUAUUAGUGUAUCUAACAACAGUAGGCCCAGCUUCUGGGGUGGUAACUCUGAACGUUUUAACAACCCAUCUGAAUCGGAGAAUGACAGCAGCAACUUUCCGAAAGAGGAAUCCAGCACAUCAGUAGAAGUGGAGGGAAAAGGAAGGAGUUUUGAGAACCCAGCAUACAGUGAGGAUGCGCAGGGAUCUCCUGCUGCACCUACUGCUGUAGCCACUACAGUCAUGAAUGGGCCUGCCAAAGAGAGUGUUGAAAACCCAAUGUAUGCUGCUGAGUUGACCUUUGUGACCCAGCCAAUUGAUGGUGCAACCCCUGUCAAAGCAGAUGCCACACCAGUCAACACUGAACCUGACAAGGCUGAUACUUCACAGCUACAGAACGAGGUGGAUAUGCAUGAUAUGUUCGACAAUCCCUUAUAUAUGGAUGCACCACAAACACACAGCCAGGGAGAAUCUACAAUCUGAAGACAAUUUGAGAGCAUCUUACAGGAUCGGCUCUCAAUCACUUCAGCAGCUAAGGUGUAUGGCUGGUAAAUUAUGGCUGCAGAAUACCAUCCAUCUACUCGGAUGUGAUUUAGGUUUCUAUUUACUGGGAGUUACAACAAAGUUUUGGACAACACACAUGCCAUAAAAUGUGAAUAGUUUUGUUGAUUGUUCUUUUUAUUAUAUUUUUAUAGAUAAAGAUUUGCACUUCUUGCACUUUGAGAUUCUUCAGACGACUGUAAAUUGUUGCAAUGAUUCAAUUUAAUUGGCAUAUUCACUCUUUGAAUGUUUUAGUGUAUGCUUUUAGUAUGUGUAUGAUUAAC
rnacentral:lncRNA from 1 species